ACGAACUCUGGUAUUGAUUGGUGCUUGCAUCAUGAUUUACAUUUGAGUGAGUGGCGAACUGGUGAGUAACACGUGGGAAACCUGCCCAGAAGCGGGGGAUAACACCUGUAAAACAGAUGCAAAUACCGCAUAACAACUUGGACCGCAUGGUCCGAGUUUGAAAGAUGGCUUCGGCUAUCACUUUUGGAUGGUCCCGCGGCGUAUUAGCUAGAUGGUGGGGUAACGGCUCACCAUGGCAAUGAUACGUAGCCGACCUGAGAGGGUAAUCGGCCACAUUGGGACUGAGACACGGCCCAAACUCCUACGGGAGGCAGCAGUAGGGAAUCUUCCACAAUGGACGAAAGUCUGAUGGAGCAACGCCGCGUGAGUGAAGAAGGGUUUCGGCUCGUAAAACUCUGUUGUUAAAGAAGAACAUAUCUGAGAGUAACUGUUCAGGUAUUGACGGUAUUUAACCAGAAAGCCACGGCUAACUACGUGCCAGCAGCCGCGGUAAUACGUAGGUGGCAAGCGUUGUCCGGAUUUAUUGGGCGUAAAGCGAGCGCAGGCGGUUUUUUAAGUCUGAUGUGAAAGCCUUCGGCUCAACCGAAGAAGUGCAUCGGAAACUGGGAAACUUGAGUGCAGAAGAGGACAGUGGAACUCCAUGUGUAGCGGUGAAAUGCGUAGAUAUAUGGAAGAACACCAGUGGCGAAGGCGGCUGUCUGGUCUGUAACUGACGCUGAGGCUCGAAAGUAUGGGUAGCAAACAGGAUUAGAUACCCUGGUAGUCCAUACCGUAAACGAUGAAUGCUAAGUGUUGGAGGGUUUCCGCCCUUCAGUGCUGCAGCUAACGCAUUAAGCAUUCCGCCUGGGGAGUACGGCCGCAAGGCUGAAACUCAAAGGAAUUGACGGGGGCCCGCACAAGCGGUGGAGCAUGUGGUUUAAUUCGAAGCUACGCGAAGAACCUUACCAGGUCUUGACAUACUAUGCAAAUCUAAGAGAUUAGACGUUCCCUUCGGGGACAUGGAUACAGGUGGUGCAUGGUUGUCGUCAGCUCGUGUCGUGAGAUGUUGGGUUAAGUCCCGCAACGAGCGCAACCCUUAUUAUCAGUUGCCAGCAUUAAGUUGGGCACUCUGGUGAGACUGCCGGUGACAAACCGGAGGAAGGGGGGGGAUGACGUCAAAUCAUCAUGGCCCCUUAUGACCGGGGGUACACCGGGCUUCAAUGGAAGGGUCAACCAAGUUGCGAACUCCCCGAGGGAAGCUAAUUCUUUAAAGCCAUUCCCCGUUCCGAGAGUAGGCUGCAAUUCGCCCACAUGAAGUCGGAAUCGAUCGUAAUUGCGGA
rnacentral:rRNA from 1 species